rnacentral:lncRNA from 13 species
CUGUGAGCCUGAACUGACUCCUAUGAAUGGUCUUCUCCAGCAAUAGACCCUCCUUCAACUCAUGGUAGCCUGUUAGGCCGAGUGACGGACUGGAAAGCAGGAUCCACUGGAUCAUCUAUGGGAAAAGGAGGGGGAAUGAGGUCAAGGAUUGAGGACGCUAAUGGGUCUUUGACAACGCAGGGAGUUAAAUGGACAUGUUCAUGCCACGCACUUCAAAGACAGCUGGUUAUGUCAAGUUUCAUUAUAAUGAAGAUGAAAACGAAAGAUCAAAAUCAUAGAAGUAAUUGAACCUCAGCAACAAAGGUAAUUCCUAAAAAUCUGGAGGGUUGAAUUCACGCUGGUGUUGAAUAUAAAUGCAGUAUUUUACAGAGUGCAAAUUGUCCUUGAUAGUCAUAUAUAUCCUUUCUUUCCAUGGCCCCAGAGCCAGCAUGGUGAUCACUGAGGAUAUAGGUGAGUGGAAUGUAAGAGGGCAAAGUGGAGUGUUCUUAGGUAAGUGAGCAGAGGUUGUACACAGUGUUGGGGUACAUAGGCCAAUAGUUACUUGCUAGGGAAAGCUUGAGGUCAAGGACAAAGAUGAGUAUACAGGGAAGGCUGGGCAUGGUGACUCACAGCUGUAUUCCAGCUUCUUGGGAGGCUGAAACAGGAGGAUCUCUUGAGGCUAGGAGUUCAAGACCAGCCUGGGCAACAUAGUGAGACCCUGUCUUUAAAGAUAAUCAUAGAAGAAUAUACAGGGAAGGACUUCUGCUUUUUAAGGGUAGUGCCCUCAGGCUCAACUGUCUUCAUUUGCUAUACCUCUGCCAAUUAGACAAAGGGUUAAUCUAAGAGGAAAGGAACCUGUCCUGACGUACCCCUGUCCC